rnacentral:rRNA from 1 species
AGAUUGAACGCUAGCGGGAUGCUUUACACAUGCAAGUCGAACGGCAGCGCGGACUUCGGUCUGGCGGCGAGUGGCGAACGGGUGAGUAAUAUAUCGGAACGUGCCCAGUAGCGGGGGAUAACUACGCGAAAGCGUGGCUAAUACCGCAUACGCCCUACGGGGGAAAGGGGGGGAUCGCAAGACCUCUCACUAUUGGAGCGGCCGAUAUCAGAUUAGCUAGUUGGUGAGGUAAAGGCUCACCAAGGCGACGAUCUGUAGCUGGUUUGAGAGGACGACCAGCCACACUGGGACUGAGACACGGCCCAGACUCCUACGGGAGGCAGCAGUGGGGAAUUUGGACAAUGGGGAAACCUGAUCAGCCAUCCGCGUGUGCGAUGAAGGCCUCGGUUGGUAAGCACUUUGUCGAGGAAGGAAACGGACGUACGCCGUAACUACGGACGUCGACUCGACGGUACCGUGCAGAAUAAGAC